UACGUAGGGGGCUAGCGUUGUCCGGAAUCAUUGGGCGUAAAGCGCGUGUAGGCGGUCCGGUAAGACCGCUGUGAAAGUCGAGGGCUCAACCCUCGAAUGCCGGUGGAUACUGUCGGGCUAGAGUACGGAAGAGGCGAGUGGAAUUCCUGGUGUAGCGGUGAAAUGCGUAGAGAUGCGGAGGAACACCGAUGGCGAAGGCAGCCCCCUGGGCCGACAUUGACGCUCAGGCACGAAAGCGUGGGGAGCAAACAGG
rnacentral:rRNA from 1 species